rnacentral:rRNA from 1 species
GACGAACCGUGCGAACGUUAUUCGGAAUCAUUGGGCUUAAAGGGCGCGUAGGCGGCGGUGUAAGUUGGAAGUGAAAUCCCAUCGGCUCAACCGUGGAAUUGCUCCCAGUACUGCAUCGCUCGAGGGGGAUAGGGGUCUGCGGAACUACCGGUGGAGCGGUGAAAUGCGUUGAUAUCAUUAGGAACUCCGGUGGCGAAGGCGGCGCACUGGUCCUUUUCUGACGCUGAGGCGCGAAAGCCAGGGGAGCAAACGGG